rnacentral:rRNA from 1 species
AUUGAACGCUGGCGGCAGGCCUAACACAUGCAAGUCGGGCGAGUGGCGGACGGGUGAGUAAUGUAUGGGGAACUGCCUGAUGGCGGGGGAUAACUACUGGAAACGGUAGCUAAUACAGCAUACCAUCAGAUGAACCCAUAUGGGAUUAGCUAGUAGGUAAGGUAACGGCUUACCUGGGAGACGAUCCCUAGCUGGUCUGAGAGGCGGAACAGCCACACUGUGACUGAGACACGGCCCAGACUCCUACGGGAGGCAGCAGUGGGGAAUAUUGCACAAUGGGCGCAAGCCUGAUGCAGCCAUGCCGCGUGUAUGAAGAAGGCCGUCGGGUUGUAAAGUACUUUCAGUCGGGAGGCGUUACCGACAGAAGAAGCACCGGCUAACUCCGUGCCAGCAGCCGCGGUAAUUC